rnacentral:lncRNA from 1 species
UAACUAGGCUUAAAAAAUUCGUCUCGAGAUUUACAGAUAAACUCUACAAUUAGUUUUUGUUUUCAUCUAUAUUUAAUGCUCUAUGCGUGUGCCGCAAGAUUCGAUGUGACGUGGAAUCUUGAAAAGUUUUUUAUUUUUGGAUGAACAAAGGCCUCAGUACCGGUUGACUUAAUACAACCUCUUUUAAAAAUGUCUUUUCUCUGCUCCUAGAAAUGAACUAUUUUUACAAUCAACAACAUAACCGUUUCUAAAAAUUGAUUUUGACCAUGUCUAAAAAAUCAUUUUUUGUAGUAAUAAGAAAUAGGUAUUUUAUUUUAUAAGACUUAUAGCCACAGAAACCAUCAGCCAAAUAGGAACAUUAAAUUGAGGAGUGCCAUUUCGCAGAAGUUAUUCUUUGGGACUGAUAGCUGCAAUGUUAAUCAUAUGCAUACCGUACUUCUAGCCAAAAAAAAAAAAUCAUAUGUCUUCAAUGUACAAUCCGAUGAGAACUAGAAAUAUGUGCGGCGUUGCCGCUUAUGGCUAGUGGUUAGCUAUGCGCCGUACGUAUGUUUAUGUGUUUUUGUUUUUUUCUUUAUACGGUGUACAUUUUAAAUGUAUUCAUUUUGUUUGUUUACAUGCGUCAUAUAAUAUACUCAUAUAUGCGAGUGUACGGAAUGUCAUAUAUAUGGUGAGAUAUUUGGCUUCGUAUAUCUAUGUCAGCGAUUAUUUGUUUUGGAUUUUUUUUAUUACGAGUUAGUAUAAAAUAUAUGAAUUGAUUUAGAGCUAAGGUGGGGAGAAUUAGAAAGCAAAGAUUGUGAACAAGGUUAUGAAUUUAUUUAGAAUUAAUUUUUGGAGAUAUUUUUAGUUCAUAUGCGAUAUGAGCAAAAAAUUAAUCAAUGACAUAAAAUUAUAGAUGUAUAUAUCUAUCAAAUAAAAUACACUAAAUCAUAAGAUAUUUUAAGUUAAAUGCAUAGAUCUAGUCAUAAUAAACUCAACAAAAUUAGUUUGGUAUUUUUAUGAUUUUUCUAUAUUUUUUUACGAUUUUUUAGAGAUCUCUAUUUUGAAAAGAAAAGAUUAAAAAUUAAUAGGAAAAUAAAAAUAGUAUAGGGCCGUAUUUGGCCACUUAGGCCCAGCAAGCUUGAGGCCAGCCCAGGUUGGAGGCAGGCGCAUAUGGACUGGUCAUUAAUUUCAGUAAAGUUUGAGGACUAUUUUGAAUAAAAAAUAUGAGAGAGUGGACUGGACGGCGGGUUAUAUUUCAACAAAGUGCGAGGGCUUUUCCGAAAAACUACAGAAAAUGGCCCGAUCCAUAGGCUAGACGGCGGGUUAUAUUUCAAUAAAAUGCGAGGGCUUUUUUGUAAAAUGACAGAGAAUGGCCCGAUCUGAGCCGUCCGGCCGGCCGAUCAGACGGCCGGGAAUUGCGGGCGACGUGGCCACGCUCUCUGGGCCUCUUUUGUUACGUGAAUCGUAUUUAGAAGAUGAUAUAUAUAGAGGUGCUUUUUUUUGAACUUAUAGAUAGAGGUGCUUGAAGCACUUAACAUGUGAGAAAACUUUCCGUAGUCCAUAACUAGUCAGGACAUAAGAGGUUCAAUUUUAUACAUGUUCAGUCGACAUCACGGCAAAUGGAGAAACCCAUCACGCUGCCAGA